CACGUAGGGGGCGAGCGUUGUCCGGAUUUAUUGGGCGUAAAGAGCUCGUAGGCGGUUUCGUAAGUCGGAUGUGAAAACUCCAGGCUCAACUUGGAGACGCCAUUCGAUACUGCGAUGACUUGAGUCCGGUAGGGGAGUGUGGAAUUCCUGGUGUAGCGGUGAAAUGCGCAGAUAUCGGGAAGAACACCCGUGGCGAAGGCGGCUUUCUGGGCCCUACCUGACGCUGAGACGCGAAAGCGUGGGGAGCGAACAGG
rnacentral:rRNA from 1 species